rnacentral:rRNA from 1 species
GGGUUGUGAGGUUAAGCGACUAAGCGUACACGGUGGAUGCCCUGGCAGUCAGAGGCGAUGAAGGGCGUGCUAAUCUGCGAUAAGCGCCGGUAAGGUGAUAUGAACCGUUAUAACCGGCGAUACCCGAAUGGGGAAACCCAGUGUGACUCGUCACACUAUCAUUAACUGAAUCCAUAGGUUAAUGAGGCGAACCGGGGGAACUGAAACAUCUAAGUACCCCGAGGAAAAGAAAUCAACCGAGAUUCCCCCAGUAGCGGCGAGCGAACGGGGAGGAGCCCAGAGCCUGAAUCAGCAUGUGUGUUAGUGGAAGCGUCUGGAAAGGCGCGCGAUACAGGGUGACAGCCCCGUACACA